GCUCGGCAUCGACGGGGCGAUCGGGCCGCUCCGGGCCGGUGACCCGGGUCCACUGGUCGCGGUGGCGACCGCGUUCGGGCUCGCCGCCGGAGCCGAGUAC
rnacentral:tRNA from 1 species